rnacentral:rRNA from 1 species
UCCGUUAAUUGAUUAUGACGUACUUGUACUGAUUGAGAUUUUAACACGAAGUGAGUGGCGAACGGGUGAGUAACACGUGGGUAACCUGCCCAGAAGUAGGGGAUAACACCUGGAAACAGAUGCUAAUACCGUAUAACAGAGAAAACCGCAUGGUUUUCUUUUAAAAGAUGGCUCUGCUAUCACUUCUGGAUGGACCCGCGGCGUAUUAGCUAGUUGGUGAGGUAAAGGCUCACCAAGGCAGUGAUACGUAGCCGACCUGAGAGGGUAAUCGGCCACAUUGGGACUGAGACACGGCCCAGACUCCUACGGGAGGCAGCAGUAGGGAAUCUUCCACAAUGGACGCAAGUCUGAUGGAGCAACGCCGCGUGAGUGAAGAAGGGUUUCGGCUCGUAAAGCUCUGUUGUUAAAGAAGAACGUGGGUAAGAGUAACUGUUUACCCAGUGACGGUAUUUAACCAGAAAGCCACGGCUAACUACGUGCCAGCAGCCGCGGUAAUACGUAGGUGGCAAGCGUUAUCCGGAUUUAUUGGGCGUAAAGCGAGCGCAGGCGGUCUUUUAAGUCUAAUGUGAAAGCCUUCGGCUCAACCGAAGAAGUGCAUUGGAAACUGGGAGACUUGAGUGCAGAAGAGGACAGUGGAACUCCAUGUGUAGCGGUGAAAUGCGUAGAUAUAUGGAAGAACACCAGUGGCGAAGGCGGCUGUCUGGUCUGCAACUGACGCUGAGGCUCGAAAGCAUGGGGUAGCGAACAGGAUUAGAUACCCUGGUAGUCCAUGCCGUAAACGAUGAUUACUAAGUGUUGGAGGGUUUCCGCCCUUCAGUGCUGCAGCUAACGCAUUAAGUAAUCCGCCUGGGGAGUACGACCGCAAGGUUGAAACUCAAAAGAAUUGACGGGGGCCCGCACAAGCGGUGGAGCAUGUGGUUUAAUUCGAAGCUACGCGAAGAACCUUACCAGGUCUUGACAUCUUCUGACAGUCUAAGAGAUUAGAGGUUCCCUUCGGGGACAGAAUGACAGGUGGUGCAUGGUUGUCGUCAGCUCGUGUCGUGAGAUGUUGGGUUAAAGUCCCGCAACGAGCGCAACCCUUAUUACUAGUUGCCAGCAUUAAGUUGGGCACUCUAGUGAGACUGCCGGUGACAAACCGGAGGAAGGUGGGGACGACGUCAAAUCAUCAUGCCCCUUAUGACCUGGGCUACACACGUGCUACAAUGGAUGGUACAACGAGUCGCGAGACCGCGAGGUUAAGCUAAUCUCUUAAAACCAUUCUCAGUUCGGACUGUAGGCUGCAACUCGCCUACACGAAGUCGGAAUCGCUAGUAAUCGCGGAUCAGCAUGCCGCGGUGAAUACGUUCCCGGGCCUUGUACACACCGCCCGUCGGCACCAUGAGAGUUUGUAACACCCAAA